rnacentral:rRNA from 1 species
ACAGAGGGUGCGAGCGUUGUCCGGAAUUACUGGGCGUAAAGGGCGCGUAGGCGGGAUGGCAAGUCGGUCGUGAAAUCCCUCGGCUCAACUGAGGAGCGUCGAUCGAAACUGCCGUUCUUGAGGGUUGCAGAGGAGACUGGAAUUCCCGGUGUAGCGGUGAAAUGUGUAGAGAUCGGGAGGAACACCGGUGGCGAAGGCGGGUCUCUGGGCAACUCCUGACGCUGAGGCGCGAAAGCGUGGGGAGCAAACGGGA